CAGAAGGAAGUUGGUACCAUACAUGCUUACUGUCAGUAAUCAGGUGUGUGCCACGUGAUUGCUUUGAAGAACUGAACAAAAACAACUCACCACUGCCUGAGCAAAGCUGAUUCUCAACAGGUUUUUGGAAGGCUUAAUUGUAAGAAGGAAAUUACGCCGAGUACCCUAGAGGGGAAAGAAGAGAGGAUCAUACCUCUGAAGCUGGGGAUUAGAGGAUGGAAGAGAACAUUUUCAAAUAUUGGGGAAGGAUAAAAGAGUAUGAGUCCACAGGCAGUGGGCCCUGUUUCAGUUUCCUGGGAGUAAUUCAGGGAAGAUUCAGAGCUCCAAUGGUCAAGGCUCUAAACUAUGUUCCUCGGAAUGUUGUACCCUUGGAACUGGACUCAUUGCUUUAGCUAGGAGUCCCAAGUGUAUGUGUGGGCAGUAGUCCAGAGACUUGGCUGGGCCUUCAUUCAAAUCCUCUGGAUACAC
rnacentral:lncRNA from 1 species